rnacentral:snRNA from 1 species
AAAAUACACAAGUUCAAA